rnacentral:rRNA from 1 species
UAAUGAUGGGGGCGCUGUCUCCAGCAGAGACUCAGUGAAAUCGAAUUCGCCGUGAAGAUGCGGUGUACCCGCGGCUAGACGGAAAGACCCCGUGAACCUUUACUGCAGCUUGACAUUGAACUUUGAUCUUACUUGUGUAGGAUAGGUGGGAGGCUUUGAAGUCGCGACGCUAGUUGCGAUGGAGCCGUCCUUGAAAUACCACCCUGGUAAUAUUGAGGUUCUAACUCUGUCCCGUUAUCCGGGACGAGGACCAUGUCUGGUGGGUAGUUUGACUGGGGCGGUCUCCUCCUAAAGAGUAACGGAGGAGUACGAAGGUGCGCUCAGCGUGGUCGGAAAUCACGCGUAGAGUAUAAAGGCAAAAGCGCGCUUAACUGCGAGACCCACAAGUCGAGCAGGUACGAAAGUAGGUCUUAGUGAUCCGGUGGUUCUGUAUGGAAGGGCCAUCGCUCAACGGAUAAAAGGUACUCUGGGGAUAACAGGCUGAUACCGCCCAAGAGUUCA